GACGAACGCUGGCGGCGUGCUUAACACAUGCAAGUCGAACGGAAAGGCCCUGCUUGCAGGGUACUCGAGUGGCGAACGGGUGAGUAACACGUGGGUGUUCUGCCCUGCACUUCGGGAUAAGCCUGGGAAACUGUGUCUAAUACCGGAUAGGAGCCCUUUUUCUUCUUAUGGUUGGAUAGUUUUUUGGGGGUAGGAUGAGUUCGCGGCCUAUCAGCUUGUUGGUGGGGUAAUGGCCUACCUAGGGGGCUACGGGUAGCCGGCCUGAGAGGGUGGACGGCCAAAUUGGGAAUGGGGAACGGCCCAGACUCCUAAGGGGGGCAGGAGUGGGGAAUAUUGGACAAUGGGGGCAAGCCCGAUGCAGCGAAGCCGCGGGGGGGAUGACGGGCUUCGGGUUGGAAACUCCUUUCGCUAGGGAAGAAGCUUUUUGUGACGGUACCUAGAUAAGAAGCACCGGCUAACUACGUG
rnacentral:rRNA from 1 species